rnacentral:rRNA from 1 species
GACGAACGCUGGCGGCGUGCUUAACACAUGCAAGUCGAGCGGAGCGGCGAACGGGUGAGCAACGCGUGAGUAACUGGCCCCCUCCCUGGGAUAACAGUUGGAAACGGCUGCUAAUACCGGAUAGUGGGGGAUGACUCGCGUCCUAUCAGCUUGUUGGUGGGGUAGUGGCCUACCACGGCGACGACGGGUACCCGGCCUGAGAGGGCGGCCGGCCACAUUGGGCUGAGAGACGGCCCAAACUGCUACGGGGGGCAGCGGUGGGAAAUAUUGCGCAGUGGGGGAGACUCUGAUGCAGCGACGCCGGGUGCGGGAUGAAGGCCUACGGGUUGUAAACCUCUUUCAGCCAUGACGCGGUAGUGGCAGAAGAAGCACCGGCUAACUACGUGCCAGCAGCCGCGGUAAUAC